GACGGGUGAGUAACACGUAGAUAACCUGCCCUCAAGACGGGGACAACCGGUGGAAACAGCGGCUAAUACCCGAUAUGCUCACAGGAUCGGGAGAUCGAGUGAGGAAAGCGCCCCUUCGGGGGAGAGUGUUUGAGGAGGGAUCUGCGGCCCAUCAGCUAGUUGGUGAGGUAACGGCUCACCAAGGCGAAGACGGGUAGGGGGUGUGAGAGCAUGGCCCCCCACAAUGGGACUGAGACACGGCCCAUACUCCUACGGGAGGCAGCAGCGGGGAAUAUUGCGCAAUGGACGGAAGUCAGACGCAGCGACGCCGCGUGGGUGAGGAAGGCCUUCGGGUUGUAAAGCCCUUUUCAGGGGAGCGAGAAAGGACGGUACCCUUGGAAUAAGCGUCGGCUAACUACGUGCCAGCAGCCGCGGUAAGACGUAGGACGCAAGCGUUAUCCGGAUUUACUGGGCGUAAAGCGCCUGUAGGCGGUCAAGUAAGUCGGAUGUGAAAGCCCCGUGCUCAACGCGGGGAAGCCAUUCGAUACUGCGUGACUAGAGAACGGCAGAGGGAAACGGAAUUUCUGGUGUAGCGGUAAAAUGCGCAGAGAUCAGAAAGAACACCGAUGGCGAAGGCAGUUUCCUAGGCCGCAUCUGACGCUGAGAGGCGAAAGCUAGGGGAGCAAACAGGAUUAGAGACCCUGGUAGUCCUAGCUGUAAACGAUGGAUGCUAGGUGUGGGCCGGAAAGGUCCGUGCCGCAGUUAACGCGAUAAGCAUCCCGCCUGGGGAGUACGGCCGCAAGGCUAAAACUCAAACGAAUUGACGGGGACCCGCACAAGCAGCGGAGCGUGUGGUUUAAUUCGAUGCUACACGCAGAACCUUACCUGGGCUUGACAUGUAGGUGGUAGUGAAGUGAAAGCGGAGCGACCCUUCGGGGAGCCUACACAGGUGCUGCAUGGCUGUCGUCAGCUCGUGCCGUGAGGUGUCGGGUUAAGUCCUGUAACGAGCGCAACCCUUUUCGUUAGUUACAAGUGUGUAAGGAGACUGCCGGUGACAAACCGGAGGAAGGUGGGGACGACGUCAAGUCAGC
rnacentral:rRNA from 1 species